CCCUUAGAUGUUCUGGGCCGCACGCGCGCUACACUGAUGCAUUCAACAAGCCUAGCCUUGACCGAGAGGUCCGGGUAAUCUUUGAAACUGCAUCGUGAUGGGGCUAGAUUAUUGCAAUUAUUAAUCUUCAACGAGGAAUGCCUAGUAAGCGCAAGUCAACAGCUUGCGUUGAUUACGUCCCUGCCCUUUGUACACACCGCCCGUCGCUACUACUGAUUGGAUGUUUAAGCGAGGUUCUCGAACUGCUAGCGACUUAGCUUCGGUGAGGUCGCAGUGUGGGAAGUGAACCUAGCUUUGGUGUCUAGAGGAAGUAAAAGUCGUAACA
rnacentral:rRNA from 1 species